GAGAAGCUAAUGAAGCUGAUCAGUUCCCCUUCUUCUUGGGAACACGUGUGCAGUGCCUGCCCACAGCAGUCUGCUUGGAAGUGUGUACAACCUGUUAUCCUAUAGGCUGCCCUUUAGGACCUCUGAAACAGCC